rnacentral:rRNA from 1 species
UACGUAGGGAGCAAGCGUUGUUCGGAUUUACUGGGCGUAAGGGGCGCGUAGGCGGCAAUUCAAGUCAUCUGUGAAAUCUCCGGGCUUAACUCGGAACUGUCAGAUGAUACUGCUUUGCUAGAGUGCAGAAGGGGCAAUCGGAAUUCUUGGUGUAGCGGUGAAAUGCGUAGAUAUCAAGAGGAACACCUGAGGUGAAGACGGGUUGCUGGGCUGACACUGACGCUGAGGCGCGAAAGCCAGGGGAGCAAACGGG